GUGACAAGCUACGGGACUUCUCUGCUUCCUCCAGCAGUCUUCUGCUUCCAGAACAAUCUGGCAGUGCAGGUUCAUCUGCCUCAUGCCUUCCUGGGUCCCACUGGCUCUCACAUUCCAAACCCCUUCUCCAUGCCCACAUCGCCUGUGAAGUCUCUGUGACAUGUCAUACCCACGUCACUACUUUCCUCAAAGGAAGGGACAAAGUGUCACUAAAGAUACAUUCAGUUUUUACUACCUCCAAGU
rnacentral:lncRNA from 1 species